GAAAGAGAAAAAAAAAAAGAUGACAGGCUCAUACCCCUGGGCCUCUCAUAGCACCCCAUGUCAGAGCAAAUUAGCCCCGAAUCAUUGCCCAGCCUCUGCCUGGGGGCUGCUGGCACCGAAAUGGGUUGCACAGUA
ensembl:snoRNA